rnacentral:lncRNA from 1 species
CUCCCGUCUCCCCUCUCGUCAACCCUGCCACAAAAAUUAUGAUCUCAAAUGCUCCCCCGUUCAUCAAGAACGAAUUGCUGGGGAGGGAGCUGUCUAGAUACGGUCAACUUGUGUCACCAAUCAGGAUGGUUUCGCUGGGGUGUAAAUCUCCGAAACUGAAGCAUGUUGUGUGUCAUAGGAGACAGGUGUACAUGAUCCUAAAAGAAAGAAACACUGAUCUGAGCCUGUCUUUCUCUUUUAAAGUUGAUGGUUUUAAUUAUGUGAUCUUCGUUUCUUCCGAGACAAUGAAAUGUUUUGGUUGUGGGGGCGAGGGGCACCUGGUCCGCUCCUGCCCGAAGGACUGUGGAGCGCAGCGGGCUGCUGCGGCUCCGGGGGGAGAUCCGACCGGUGCUGCUGCUGCGGCUCCGGGGGGAGGUCCGCCCGGUGCUGCUGCUGCGGCGGCUGCGGGGGGAGGUCCGCCCGGUGCUGCUGCUGCGGCUCCGGGGGGAGAUCCGCCCGCGGAUGUCACCCCUGCCCCGGUUACCGUGUGGGGCACUCCCGUUGUUGCCGCAAGGCCGGUUCUUUCUGCUCCGGUGGGGCCGUCCGUCGCGGGGAACCCCCCCGCGGCGCCAGUCCCCGUGGUUGCGGGAGCUCUGAUUCCCGAAGGGUCUUCUGAGGCAAACAUUGAAGCCACAACAAGUAGUUUGACUGAGAAAAUUGACAUGGUGCAACAAAUGAUGGAGGAGGAUAUGUCAGAUGACGAUCUCCUCAAAAUAUCGCAGAAAAGAAAGAACAUUGAAUCUGAAAAAAUGAACAGCAAAGUAAAGAAAACGAGUUCCCAGAGGUCCACUGAGUCAGAGAGUGAUUUUCUCCUGACUCAGCUGGACUCUCAGUGUAACUACUCUCCGGAGAAAAUCAAAGCCUUCCUGGAGCAGACUAAAGGAGCCAGGCUGCCUAAUGUAGGUGAGUUCUUUCCUGACCUACAGUUAUUUAUUAGUUCAGCCAGGCCGCUCACCAGGAAGAGCUAUGGAGAGG